rnacentral:rRNA from 1 species
CCUACGGGAGGCAACAGUAGGGAAUAUUGCACAAUGGGGGAAACCCUGAAGCAGCAACGCCGCGUGGAGGAUGGAGGUUUUCGGAUUGUAAACUCCUUUUGUUAGAGAAGAUAAUGACGGUAUCUAACGAAUAAGCACCGGCUAACUCCGUGCCAGCAGCCGCGGUAAUACGGAGGGGGCAAGCGUUACUCGGAAUCACUGGGCGUAAAGAGCGCGGAGGCGGGAUAGCAAGUCAGAUGUGAAAUCCUAGGGCUGAACCAUAGAACUGCAUUUGAAACUGUUAUUCUAGAGUAUGGGAGAGGUAGGUGGAAUUCUUGGUGUAGGGGUAAAAUCCGUAGAGAUCAAGAGGAAUACUCAUUGCGAAGGCGACCUGCUAGAACAUAACUGACGCUGAUGCGCGAAAGCGUGGGGAGCAAACAGGAUUAGAUACCCCGGUAGUC